rnacentral:tRNA from 1 species
GGAAAAAGGAGAACCUCACCCCUCCCUAAGACU